rnacentral:rRNA from 1 species
AGAGACAGCAGUCGCCGCGGUAAUACGGAGGGGGCUAGCGUUGUUCGGAAUUACUGGGCGUAAAGCGCACGUAGGCGGCUUGGUAAGUUAGAGGUGAAAGCCCGGAGCUCAACUCCGGAAUUGCCUUUAAGACUGCCGAGCUAGUAGGUGAGAGAGGUAAGUGGAAUUCCGAGUGUAGAGGUGAAAUUCGUAGAUAUUCGGAAGAACACCAGUGGCGAAGGCGGCUUACUGGCUCAUUCUAGACGCUGAGGUGCGAAAGCGUGGGGAGCAAACAGGAUUAGAUACCCCGGUAGUCCCUGUCUCUUAUAC